UACGUAGGGGGCUAGCGUUGUCCGGAAUCAUUGGGCGUAAAGAGCGCGUAGGCGGCCAGAUAAGUCCGGUGUGAAAGUCACAGGCUCAACCUGUGAAUGCCGCUGGAAACUGUCUGGCUAGAGUCCGGAAGGGGCGAGUGGAAUUCCUGGUGUAGCGGUGAAAUGCGCAGAUAUCAGGAGGAACACCGGUGGCGAAGGCGGGUCUCUGGGCCGUAACUGACGCUGAGGAGCGAAAGCGUGGGGAGCGAACAGG
rnacentral:rRNA from 1 species